GACACCAUGGUCGACUGGUCUCUGCUAUUGUUGUGCCGAUGUUCCCAACUGUUGCAUCACUUGUUGGUGCCCAUGCAUCAUGUUCGGCCAAAUCGCCGAGAUCGUCGAUAAAGGAUCACUGCCCUGUGGAAUGAGCGGAGUGAUUUACGCAUUCCUCAACCUGUGCUUGCCAUU